rnacentral:tRNA from 1 species
GAAUAUAUGGCUCGGUGGUAGAGCACUUUGCCUGGCAUGUGCAAUGCGUUAGGUUCAAUCCCUAGUGCAUUUA